CUCGACCCGAUACAUCACCCAUUCCUUCUAUCCAGAGAUGCUGCCUGGCCCGCUGAGUUAUUCCAGCAUUUUGUGUCUAUCCUCGAUGUAAACCAGAAUCUGCAGUUCCUUCCUACACACGUAAAAUGUAUGGACAGUUUUGGGAGGUAGUGAUGUGGCUGAUAUGCUCACCUGGGAUUUGGGGGUGAAUCUUGUGAGGAAAAGGAUUAGGAAUAUAAAUGGAGAUGCAAGAACAUUCAUAUCCUUGAAUCUUGAGCAAAACAUGAAGUGAUGGAACUCAAUGGGUCAGGCAGCAUCUGUGGAGAGAGUGGACGGGUUGUCCAUUUUGGUUAAGCCACGUUUGGAGUGUUGCAUACAGUUCUUGCCGGCCACUACAGGAAAGCUGUGGAGGCUUUGAAGAGGGUGCAGAAGGGGUUUACCAGAUUGCUGCCUGGUUUGUACAGUAUUAGCUCUUAAGAGAAGCUGUACAAACUUGGAUUGUUUUCUCUGGAUUAUCUGAGACUGAGGGGAGAACUAUAAAAUUAUGAGAGUCCCACCAGGGUGGAAAUGUUAAAGACUAGAGACCAUAUCUUUAAUAUGAAAGGGGGAUCUUGUGGGGCAAGAUUUUUUACUCAGAUAAUGGUGAGUACCUGUAAUAGAAACAUAGAAAAUAGGUGCAGGAGGAGGCCAUUCGGCACUUUGAGCCUGCACCGCCAUUCAAUAUGAUCAUGGCUGAUCAUCCACUCAGUAUCCUGUACCUGCCUUCUCUCCAUACCCCCUGAUCCCUUUAGCCACAAGGGCCACAUCUAACUCCCUCUUAAAUAUAGCCAAUAAACUGGCCUCAACUACCUUCUGUGGCAGAGAAUUCCAGAGAUUCACCACUCUCUGUGUGAAAAAUGUUUUUCUCAAAUCUGGUCCUGAAAGAUUUCCCCCUUAUCCUUAAACUGUGAACCCUUGUUCUGGACUUCCCCAACAUCGGGAACAAUCUUCCUGCAUCUAGCCUGUCCAACCCCUUAAGAAUUUUGGAAAUUUCUAUAAGAUCCCCCCUCAAUCUUCUAAAUUCUAGCGUGUACAAGCCUAGUCUAUCCAGUCGUUCUUCAUAUGAAAGUCCUGACAUCCCAGGAAUCAGUCUGGUGAACCUUCUCUGUACUCCCUCUAUGGCACGCUGCCAGGGAUGGUCGUGGAGGUAGAUAUAACAGUGGAGUUUAAGAGGCUUUUAGAUAGGCUCAUGGAGGGACAUAUUCAGGUAAUGGAGGGGCACUGAUCAUAUGCAGGUACAGUAGAUGAGAUUAGGUUAGCUUAGCAUCAUGUUCAGCACAGAUAUUGUGGGCCAACAAGCCGGUCCCUAUGCUAUACCUUUCCAUGUUCUAUGUUCUGACCCACUGAGUUCCUCCAGCACUUUAUAUAUUGCUUAGGAAUACAAAUGGGAGCUUAACGGGUAAUAACAACAAGAUAUUUGCGCUGAACCACUAGCCCUAGAUAAAUAAACGUCAUCGCGGCUCAUAAAUCUGAACUUUGCUAGGGCAGUUAAACUGUUUCUUUAAAAGCUCCUUUGGUGAAAUGGCUAUGGGCAGCUUUCAACUUACAAGAAAUUGGAUUUAAGGUUGCAAAUUCCAACACUCGAAGGCUACGGUUCCAAUGAGUCCCUGUAUCCAACUUUCUCCUUUUCUACAUUACAUUCCCUGUUGCCUUUACAAAGCGGUGACCACCCGCUAUUUUAGUUGGUGUCAUGAGCUGCCCUGUUUUUUUUCCCCCCUAAUUUCCAAGCCCAAGCCGCUCUCCAAAGUAAUGCAGGUGCGUGUUUCUUUAAUGAGAGCCUUUAAAAGUGUUGGAAUAGUAACAGUGAAGCUGCUGUUUCGGGCUGCCAGUCUGUUUUUCAUUAACAACCCAACAAAUGAAAUUCCUUUUCACCAUCACCCAAGGCUGGAUUUCAACUAUCAUGCAGCAAUAAUUAUAUGCUGGGCGGGAAUCCAUUCAAAAAAUUACAAAACACACUGUGUGACAAGCAUGUAACUGAAUAAGUUUCAACCUAUUUUUUUUUUGAAGCAGGGAGUCACUUGGUUUCUAUUUAGGACGAAAGGGAAACUUUGGGUUAUUAAGGUUGUAAGGGCGAGUUGCUGUACGAAAUGGAGAACCCCCUAGGUAGAACAGAGGGCACGAUAACUAGAAACAGAUCGGGGUGGAGGCCUGGGAGCUGAUUGCGAUGGAGUUUAAGCUGCACUACUGUAUGGUAAAACUCAUCUGUACUCCAGCCACUUAGUCUGAUUGGGGAUCGACACAACUAGCUGGAGUAACACAGCGGGACAGGCAGCACCUCUGGAGAGAAGGAAUGGGUGACGUUUCUUCAGAGACCUGAAACGUCAGCCAUUUCUUCUCUCCAGAGAUGCUGCCUGUCCCGCUGAGUUACUCCAGCUUUUUGUGUCUAUCUUCGGUGUACACCAGCAUCUGCAGUUCCUUUCUACACACUUAGUCUGAUUGGUCCCAGUCACACAUUGAGUCCUAUUUUCCUCCACCAGCUGUAACAAAACAUUAAUAACGUGACUGGCAUAUUCAGAAUAAAAUGAUUCUGAAAUGAACUUUCUUUAGACUCUGCUCGAGUUUCUUAAGGCACACGAGCAUAAAUCCAGCAUGGUAUCAGGUGUUGUUUUCAGGGAAUGAAGGGGCCCAAGGCAGCUACCACUAUAUGUGUCUAUGUGGAAUAUUGGGAAGAAAUGGCAUAGGUUCUCAGUGAGGGACACCAGGUAUUUAUGAGCGCACGUUAAGAGACACAUUUAACUUUCAGGAGAUAUUUAGAGUACUUUAAAAUAGUUUUCUAGCCUUUGCCAAUUGAAGGCUUUGACGAGAAUUGAUAGCAGCUCACAUCCUUAAAUCUAAAACCUCCAUUUGUUUGGCUUUUUAUAUGUAAAGAAAAACACUCCUGCUGUAAAGUGAAACAGGAUAGUGCAUCUGGUGAGGAAGUAACUUGCUGACAAGUAGCAAGAUUAGGGAUCCCUCAUUAUAUUGAGGAACUUUGCGUCUGUCUUGGGACAGGAACAUGGAUUAUGAGCAGUGGUGAUUAGUGGAUGCUGUUCAGGAAAUUCCAGCAGUCCGAUGGUCUGUUAGCACACAGCCCACUGAUUCAUAUGUCAUCUGCUAGCUAUAAACUCCAAAUUUGCUGUAAACCCAUUAUUUAAACACACUUGAAAUAAGACAUUGAACAAGUUAAUUAGCUGGGUGAUUAGAAACUAACCGCGCUGUUGGGAACGCAUUCCAUUUGUAAUAUUGGUGCAUGCACAUCCGAGAAACAAAAAAAAAAAAAAUGCAUUUGAGCAUUUUAAGAAAAGGUUGGAAAUUCUGGCAAACCACAGCUCUGCAACUUUCUGCUUCAGUUUGUGAAUAGGUUACCUUUCAACACACUUAAAACAAGGAUGAUUUAAUAGAUUGCUUUGUCCUUAAUGAAAAAUGCCCCCAGCCUCAACCCAAACAAAGCAUCUAAUGUGCGGUUGGCUUUUUUUUUUCCUUUGGCAAGGCCGCUCUGUACUGAUAAGGCCGUUGCUCGCUAUUCUCUAAGGACUGGAGCUGCUGGAAGACUGCAACGGACCUCAUCCCCUGUUACUUCUGAUGCGGGUGAUCUUCCGACUCCACGGCGCCAACCACAACAUGUUACCCACCGUGAGAGAGCAGGACGCAGGCACGGGCGGUCAGGAAUUAUCGUCUAUCAUACUGAUUGACGAAACCAAGAUACAGGUGUGGGGUGCAAGCAGAAGCCUCCACGUGGUGCAUCCCGGGCAAUGUUGACGACAGAAACUGUACCACAGUGACUGACUGAAGUAGCCAAUUCUGCAACCACCGACCGUCAACCAUCGCUGACCGACCGGGAAGACGCGAUGUGGAAGAUGGCCGGACACGAGGAAGAAGAAGAAUUACAGGAGAUGUCAUCCCAAAUUUCCUGGAAUAAACCAACAAGUUUCCAGUUUUCGCUGCUGCAAUGUAAAAAGAAAAAUAAGCCGGAAUUGAGGAGGGGGCGAGCGAGGAACAAAGUCAAGGAGAAACUGCGUAAUCUGAAUGAGAAAUAAAUAAUCAGGUCUGUCUCAAAGAAUAAUAAAAUAAUUUGCUGGAAAAUGAAUUCUUCAAAUGAAUAAAUUUAAUGCACAGUUCCAAUUCUUUGGCGAAUCAGUGGAAACAUUCCGUAAGAAAUGAUGAUACUCAUUCACCAUUCAACCCUAAAUUGUCACAACAUUGUCACACUGUGGUUACUUUUAUCUGAAAUAAAACGCUUUACUGGACUUGUUGACUCCUUGAAUUGAGGUUGCAUUCAAAUCAGCCACAAUCGUAUUUAAUUGAGGAGCAGCAUUGAGAGGCCAGGUGACCUACUGCUCCUAAUUUGCACGUCCGUACAUAUGUUCUACACACUCUCUACCAAAUUGUCUGGAACUGGUAUUUGUUUGUUUGAAGUCGAUUUGGGAAAAUGGCACCCUCAGAGACUCUGUGAAUUGUGCAAAUCUUUGGUAUUUAAAGUGCAAAUCUAACGGCUGUUUGUGAGAACCGGAGUGAACAUAUAUUGCAGUGGACACACAGAUCAGAAUUUUCUACUGGAAUCAGCAAUUUUAAGCACAGAUAAACAGAAAAUAUACAUUUUAAAGUGUCCAUGCAUGGAUCCAGGGCCUGGUUAGCCCAUUGAUUUCAUUUGAUGCUGUAAAGAUGCAGAGAUGGAAAGAAAGAGGGAAAAUAAGCUGUUCUUUUCAACAAAUGCAUUUUGAUUUUAAUAAUUCAAUAUUUUUUUACCAGUCUUGAUGCUUCCUACCCAGGCUUUACAUGAGCC